GGUUAAUAAUGUUUUGUCAGUCCAUCCAUGGCUAGAGGAAAAUUCCUUCUUUAUGUAUUUUGUCCAUAACCCUGAUAAACCAACAGGGGCUUUCACACAGCACCUUAAAAGCCUGUCUUAUCCUUGGGGUUUCUGCAGCCAAUGAAAGUUUGUCAUGAUGAUGUAAUGCUCCUGAGUUGUGUUUCAGCACCGAGUGUGUGGUCACCGGGUAUCAUGCCUGAGAGCUAGGACUUCCUGGGUCCCAGAGAGUUCAAUAGCAAAGUCUUCAGCCCUUCAUGUAAGACCAUGUUCUUCACCAUACUUGGAAACUGUCUUAUGGAGGGGAAGAUCUAAGGAAUCCAAAGAAAAGUGUGGUGGUUAACAGUAUGACAAGCCUCACAGAUCUGUAAAGGUAAUGUAUGCUUUAUUUUCAUUUUCAUUUGGUGAUGCUCAUGAUUUGUUAAUGUGUUUGUAAAGUGUGUAUUAGGAGCAGUAUCUUGAGGGCCGGG
rnacentral:lncRNA from 1 species